UCAAACUUGGUCAUUUAGAGGAAGUAAAAGUCGUAACAAGGUUUCCGUAGGUGAACCUGCGGAAGGAUCAUUAUUGAAACAAAAUUGAACGCGGGCUGCUGCUGCUGGUUCCUUUUUGGAAUAUGUGUGCACGCUGUCGUGUUUUAUUUUUAUGUCUUUCUCCCUGUGCACUAGUGGUGGAGAGCCGUCCAAAAGCAAUGAAUUGUUUCGAAGGAAAUUAUGGACUUCGGUGGAAAGAAAUUUAGCGGCACAUCAUGGCCGCUUUUUUCCGCAAAAAGUUGCUUUUGGAUGGGGCUCCACUGUGUUUAUUUUUCACACCGCAUAAACUGUUGAAUGAAAAACUAGACCUUCUGUGUCGUUUAAAUUGCAUAUAACUUUCAACAACGGAUCUCUUGGCUCUCGCAUCGAUGAAGAACGCAGC
rnacentral:misc_RNA from 1 species